rnacentral:rRNA from 1 species
GAUGAACGCUGGCGGCGUGCCUAAUACAUGCAAGUCGAGCGAACGGACGAGAAGCUUGCUUUUCUGAUGUUAGCGGCGGACGGGUGAGUAACACGUGGAUAACCUACCUAUAAGACUGGGAUAACUUCGGGAAACCGGAGCUAAUACCGGAUAAUAUUUUGAACCGCAUGGUUCAAAAGUGAAAGACGGUCUUGCUGUCACUUAUAGAUGGAUCCGCGCUGCAUUAGCUAGUUGGUAAGGUAACGGCUUACCAAGGCAACGAUGCAUAGCCGACCGGAGAGGGUGAUCGGCCACACUGGAGCGGAGACACGGUCCAGACGACUAAGGGAGGCAGCAGUAUGGAAUCGGCCGCAAUGGGCGAAAGCCUGACGGAGCAACGCCGCGUGAGUGAUGAAGAUCUUCCGAUCGUAAUACUCUGUUAUGAGGGAUGAACAUAUGUGUAAGGAGCUGUGCACAGCUUGACGGUACCUAGUCAGAAAGCCACGGCUAACUACGUG